UGUAGUCUGCAACCCGACUACAUGAAGCUGGAAUCGCUAGUAAUCGCGGAUCAGAAUGCCGCGGUGAAUACGUUCCCGGGUCUUGUACACACCGCCCGUCACACCAUGGGAGUCGGAAAUGCCCGAAGUCUGUGACCCAACCUGAGAGGGAGGGAGCAGCCGAAGGCAGGUCUGAUGACUGGGGUGAAGUCGUAACAAGGUACC
rnacentral:rRNA from 1 species